AUCAGAGGUACGCAUAUUGACAGCCACUAACGGACAUGCUCAACUCGUUAAGGUCAAACAACUGACCAGCAAAUCUGUAGUACUGAACAGAAUAUUUUCUGUAGCCCAUUUUUUAUACCAAGACAAAGCAGAGCACAUGAUAACACUUCCAA